UCAAGGAUGCUGAAUAAUGUGUGUCUAGAACUCUGAGGUUCAAUAGAGGAGGAAAUAUAGUCUAUUGCUUUUGAAGUGAUCUUAUAGUUAGGUUUUGGAAAUACAAAAGGGCCAUCUUCUUGGAUUGUUUUUGUGACUUUUGUUUCUUCUUUAAAAUAAAUUCAUUGAUGUAAUAAUCAAUGUACACAUGUAAAAAAUUAAAGAUGAGGAGUGUGAAGCAUGUCCACUCAAUGUAAAUGGUGAGACAACAGAAAUCAUUAAAAUGUAUUGAAAAUAUGAAUACCAUUUAAAAAACGAACAAUUCAAGUGUAAUCUUUGACUACGGAUGACAUAAGCAGUAUAGUGAAGUUUCUUAUUUUGCAUCAGAACAAGUGUGCUGUUGUUCAUUUUUUUAAAAGAAAAUUGAUAAGUAUUACCACAAUUAAUAGAUACCUGAAUGACUAAGAGAAGGGUCAAAUGAAUGAAUCCGUGAAAAAUAUUUCAAUCCUGUUACCUUCUCUGCUUUGCACUUCCCAGAAUGGACACACCUGGGCUGGCAGAACAUCUUGCCUUGAUCUGGAGCCCCAUGUCUGCCCCUCUGUAGAGGUGCACAUGGGCCAAUGAUGGAUGCAAUGAGCUGAUCAUUUUGCUGUGAUCAAGGCUAUGUUGCCUCUGUGUUAGGCCAAUGUGAGUAAUGGUUCUUGUCUUGGUUUAGGUUGUUUAAUGGUAUUCCUGAUAUUAUUAAAAAUUAUUUAAUAUAAUAAAAAGUUAAUUGGCUUAAUGACAAUGUGCAACAUUGAGGUUAAUUAAUGAAAGAGAUGUAGUCUCUGUGGGAAAUUAUUGUAUAGACAAAUGUAAGGAUUCUUCAAAUAUCUUGUUCUUGGGUUUUCAAAAUCAUGUAUUCAUUUUAUUAUCAAAGAAGAAAUGAUUUAUUCAAUAAAUAUUUAGAAAUGAAUGAUGAAAGAGAGACCCAACUAUGAAUCAAUGGUGACCACUGGUGGCAUAUAAGUCAUGGAUGAUGAAUAUGAGAAGAAAAGAAUCUAGGUUUUUGCUUCUGUUGGAAAUGAUCCUGUAGACAAUGUCAGAAACAUACAAAGAUCAUUUUCUUAUCUUGGGGUCAUAGAUUUAGGUUUAUUAUUACUAAUAUAUGAAUGAUAGAACCAUUAAACAAAUAUAAACAGAUUACAAGUAGAGAUUUAAGCUACAGUGUCCAGCUAUGAAUAUAGGAGAUGAGAUAAAUUAUUACUAAAAAUAGGAGAUACUGAUUCCUCUUAUCAAAGAAAUGGAUCACAGUGUUUCCUCUUUGACUAAGGAUUAUAUAGAAUCUAACAAGUAAGAGUCAGUUUUAUUUUCUUGGUCAGAGAUUGUUUCUUCUGUUAAGAGAGAAAGACACCUAUAAUAUGAAAAAUUAGUAAAUACCCAAAUCACUGAAUAAAUGCUAUGCAGAAAGGCAGGAUCAACAGAGAUUAGGUCUCAAUGUUUUUAGUCUGCUCUGUACUCCUCAGAAUGGACAGACCCGGGCUGAUUUUGGUGUUCUGUGGCUAUGAGAUCAGUGGUUGCCUCCAUGUGUUAGGAACAUGGAGACUGACGUAAUAGUCAAACUUCUUGUCUCAGUUUCAGUGUUCUUCUGAAGGGUAUGCAGUAAGUGCAAAAUGUAAUCAGUGACUGCCAACCAUUACCCAAAUGUAAAAAA
ensembl:lncRNA MEG8 maternally expressed 8, small nucleolar RNA host gene